rnacentral:rRNA from 1 species
AGCGAACGCUGGCGGCAGGCCUAACACAUGCAAGUCGAACGAAGUCUUCGGACUUAGUGGCGGACGGGUGAGUAACACGUGGGAACGUGCCUUUAGGUUCGGAAUAACUCAGGGAAACUUGUGCUAAUACCGAAUGUGCCCUUCGGGGGAAAGAUUUAUCGCCUUUAGAGCGGCCCACGUCUGAUUAGCUAGUUGGUGAGGUAAAGGCUCACCAAGGCUACGAUCAGUAGCUGGUCUGAGAGGAUGACCAGCCACAUUGGGACUGAGACACGGCCCAAACUCCUACGGGAGGCAGCAGUGGGGAAUCUUGCGCAAUGGGCGAAAGCCUGACGCAGCCAUGCCGCGUGGAUGAUGAAGGUCUUAGGAUUGUAAAAUCCUUUCACCGGUGAAGGUAAUGACUGUAGCCGGAGAAGAAGCCCCGGCUAACUUCGUGCCAGCAGCCGCCGUAACAC